rnacentral:misc_RNA from 1 species
GUGAAGAACGUAGCGAAAUGCGAUACGUAAUGUGAAUUGCAGAAUUCAGUGAAUCAUCGAAUCUUUGAACGCAUAUUGCGCUCUCUGGUAUUCCGGAGAGCAUGCUUGUUUGAGUAUCAGUAAACACCUCAACUUCCAUAUCUUUUUUUGAAAUGGGAGUUGGACUUGAGUGAUCCCAACGCUUUUCCUCACCGAAAAGUGGCGGGUUACUUGAAAUGCAGGUGCAGCUGGACUUUUCUCUGAGCUAUAAGCAUAUCUAUUUAGUCUGCCUAAAAAACAGAUUAUUACCUUUGCUGCAGCUAACAUAAAGGAGAUUAGUUCUUGUGCUGACUGAUGCAGGAUUCACAAAGACAGCUUCGGCCGACUUUGUAAACUCGAUCUCAAAUCAAGUAAGACUACCCGCUGAACUUAAGCAUAUCAAUAAGCGGAGGA